rnacentral:lncRNA from 1 species
AAGGAGAGGAAUUGAGGAAGGACAGAGAGCAGGAGCAUAUGGACAGAGGAGAGGCAGAAGCCGGGCUCUGCAGGGCUGUGGAAGCUGGAGGAGUAGGUUGUCCCAGAGUCCCGUACCCCUGGGGAUCCAGGAAGUUACACUGAGGUGAGGCCAACUGCUCUGUGUGUGGAAGCCAGAGAAGAAAGCAGCACAGAACAGAUGCAAACCAAGGAGGCUGGAAGAUAAGAGCAGAGCCAUCAGGACACGAGCCCCUCGCGGGUAUGAAACAGGAGUCGUGGGAGCAAAUUAGUAGGUGCACUGCAUGGAGGGACGGAAGGGGCAGGGAGGAGCAUCUGAAUGUAAGAUUUCAGAGAAGCUCAUUUUGUCAGCAUUUCAGAGCUUCCUGUGUGCAGCAUGGAUCUAAAGCUGGUGGAUGCAGGGGGGUGAACAAGACAACAUCUUCACUUCCUGCAUGCUGAUGGCAGAAGUGAGACAUCAGCGAAGAAACAUCACGAUCACCAAAUUACGAUGAACACCAUGGAGGAAACAAAGGACACUGUGACACCAAGGAAGGAAGGGAGGUUACUUUUCAUAGUGGCUGUAAAUAGAACUGAAGGCUGAAAAACAGCUGUUAAAAUGGCUUGUUUGUUUGAAGAUGAAUGAGAGUACACAAUAAAAGGAAAAAAAUUUGGACACAGACACACACAGAGGGAUGACCACGUGGAGAUGCAGGGAGAGGAUAGCAGCUACAGGCCAGGGCGAGAGGCCUCAGAGGAAACCAGUCCUGCUGACUCUUUGAACUCGGACUUCCAGCCUCCAGAACUGUGAGAAAAUAAAUUUCUGUUUUAAGUCA